UACGUAGGGUGCGAGCGUUGUCCGGAAUUACUGGGCGUAAAGGGCGCGUAGGCGGUUCGCUAAGUUGAAUGUGAAAACUCUGGGCUUAACCCAGAGCCUGCAUUCAAUACUGGCGGGCUAGAGUUCUGGAGGGGAUAGCGGAAUUCCUGGUGUAGCGGUGAAAUGCGUAGAUAUCAGGAGGAACACCGGUGGCGAAGGCGGCUAUCUGGACAGAGUCUGACGCUGAGGCGCGAAAGCUAGGGGAGCAAACAGG
rnacentral:rRNA from 1 species